rnacentral:rRNA from 1 species
AUACGGAGGAUCCGAGCGUUAUCCGGAUUUAUUGGGUUUAAAGGGUGCGCAGGCGGGAUGUUAAGUCGGCGGUGAAAUUUUGCAGCUCAACUGUAAAAGUGCCUUCGAUACUGGGUUUUUUGAGUGGGGAUGAAAUAGGCGGAAUUUGUGGUGUAGCGGUGGAAUGCUUCGAUAUCACGAGGAACUCCGAUUGCGCAGGCAGCUUACUAAACCACUACUGACGCUCAUGCACGAAGGCGUGGGGAUCAAACAGGAUUAGAUACCCUGGUAGUCCACGCAGUAAACGAUGAUUACUAGUUGUUUGCGAUACAAUGUAAGCGACUGAGCGAAAGCGUUAAGUAAUCCACCUGGGGAGUACGUUCGCAAGAAUGAAACUCAAAGGAAUUGGCGGGG